UAACGUUCCCGGGGCCCUUGUACACACCGCCCGUCACACCACGAAAGCAGGUAACACCCGAAGCCGGUGGCCUAACCUUUUGGAGGGAGCCGUCGAAGGUGGGACUUGUGAUUGGGGUG
rnacentral:rRNA from 1 species